GCAAUGGAGAUUCAGUGGUAGAGUUUUCGUCUUCCAUGCAGGAGACUUGGGUUCCAUUCCUGGCCAGUGCA
rnacentral:tRNA from 1 species